rnacentral:lncRNA from 1 species
AUGUGCGGAGUGGAAGCUCCCAGGCACUUUCAGUCCGCUUUGGACAGCGAGAGGAACAGCAGCAGCUUCCUUGGCUCAUUGAGGGAUGUUGACCGUCUAUAUCUGCCUAGAAGAUCUGGUGGCAGAGGACAUUUGCAAGUAAAACAAGCAGUCAAAGAAGAAGAACAUGCCCUGGCAGAAUAUGUAAAGGAAAGCGAAGAACCUGCUUUGAUUGAAGUCAAAAAUCCUCAAAGCGCAGCAGACAAAGAAUCAGUACAAGAAAACUGCACUACAAACUAGAGCUGACAGCUGGCACAACAAAGCAUUGCAUGGACAGUUACUUGACAAAAUUGAAGGAAAAGCUGAUAAGGAGAAGGCCUGGCUAUGGUUCAUGAAUGGGACACUGAAGAAGGAUACAGAAGGCCUGAUCCUUGCAGCCCAGGAGCAAGCCAUCAGAACAAAUGCAAUUAAGGCCAAGAUCAAAAAAUCAGCAAGUGACCCAAAAUGCAGACACUGCAAGGUAGCUGACGAAACUAUUGAUCAUAUCCUCAGCUGCUGUAAGAAAAUCGCACAGUGUUCAACUUGUGAUUUUGUAAUAUAAAAUCCAGCAUAUAUAUCUUAUUUGCUGUGUCAUACUAUGUCUUUGUGUCAAUAACAACAACAACUUUAUUUAUACCCUGCCCCAUCUCCCCGAGGGGACUUGAAGUGGCCUUACCUAUAUAGUGAGUUUCAGUUCAACAGCAUCUGGAGGUCAACCUGAUUUUGUCCCCUGGUUUAUAGGAGCUGUCCAAGGCAAAUCAGAUGACCACUCUUGUGUUUAUCAAGGAGUAAAUGCAUUUACGGUAGAGAGUCCCAAAAUUGAUCUCUCUGCACACCCACAUACGAAAACCACCUACCAAGGAUAAUUAAACGCAACCUGUCAUUCUGGAUGUUUGAUGGUAUUUUGUAUAAGAGCUAACUGUAACUGAAUUGUUUUGAAGCCUAGGUGUAAAUGUAGGAUGAUGAUAAUAAUAACAACAACAACAAUAAUAACAACUUUAUUUUUAUAUCCCGCCUCCAUCUUCCCGAAGGGACUCGGAGGGGCUUACAUGGGGACGAGCCUGAUCCAGUAAAGGUUAAAACCAAACACAGAUUAAAACAUAUCUCAAUAAAAUCAACGACAUUACAAGAAGACAAUAACAUAACAUAUUUGCUUUUGUUUAGAGAAGCUCUUUUAAAGAAAUCAUGGGAUUGCUCAGCUUGUUUUACUCACUGCUUUGUUGCUUUGAUAAAACUUAUCCUUGCUCAGCAAACUUUGCUGUAUUUUGGCUUGGCUAUUUUAAAAAACAAACCACUCAUGGCAUUUUGCUGUCCAAAUGUCUUAGUCGUAGCCCCUGAGAAACCUGAAAAACCAGGGUCUAGCUUAAUACAUGUGUGGUUGAUAGAUGUUGCCGUAACAAUAGAUUUUGUUCAUUACUGCUAUUGGAGCACUUUUUGUUCCUCGUGUGCCAAUAUGUUUUGGAUUAAUUCUUGGAAGACAGUAAAUAUACAUAGAGACUUCUGAACAUGAGGAUUCCCAUAGAUGUCAUUUUGGAGUGGUCCAGUGCUCAGGUUGUUCAGCCUUGGUUGGCACUUGCCAGUGGCGGAUUGUGGCCCAUGCUCAAGCCAGACCUCUUCAACUUUAUCCAAUAAAGUUGUAAUAAUUUCUUAACAAUGUAUGUUGUGUUUUAAUAAGGAUUUACUUAAUUUU